UAGGGAAUCUUCGGCAAUGGACGAAAGUCUGACCGAGCAACGCCGCGUGUGUGAAGAAGGUUUUCGGAUCGUAAAACUCUGUUGUUAGAGAAGAACAAGGACGUUAGUAACUGAACGUCCCCUGACGGUAUCUAACCAGAAAGCCACGGCUAACUACGUGCCAGCAGCCGCGGUAAUACGUAGGUGGCAAGCGUUGUCCGGAUUUAUUGGGCGUAAAGCGAGCGCAGGCGGUUUCUUAAGUCUGAUGUGAAAGCCCCCGACUCAACCGGGGAGGGACAUUGGAAACUGGGAGACUUGAGUGCAGAAGAGGGGGGUGGAAUUCCAUGUGUGGCGGUGAAAUGCGUAAAUAUAUGGUGGAACACCAGUUGCGAAUGCGGCUCUCUGGACUGUAACUGUCGCAGAGGCUCGAAAGCGUGGGGAGCAAACAGG
rnacentral:rRNA from 1 species